UGCCAGCAGCCGCGGUAAGACGAACUGCGCAAACGUUAUUCGGAAUCACUGGGCUUAAAGGGUACGUAGGCGGCCGGGCAAGUUGGGUGUGAAAUCCCUCGGCUCAACCGAGGAACUGCGCCCAAAACUGCUCGGCUUGAGGGAGACAGAGGUGAGCGGAACUACGGGUGGAGCGGUGAAAUGCGUUGAUAUCCGUAGGAACACCGGUGGCGAAAGCGGCUCACUGGGUCUCUUCUGACGCUGAGGUACGAAAGCUAGGGGAGCGAACGGGAUUAGAUA
rnacentral:rRNA from 1 species